rnacentral:lncRNA from 1 species
GAACCACUCACUGAGAUUCUUCAAUGACAGAGCGACCAGCUUGGACACGUUCCUGGGAUCUGCUGCCUGCGACUGCGCCCCUCACCCCCACCCCAUUCCUUGGCCCCAUGACUCGUUCUAUUUUGAUGACCCUGCCAUUCUGUGACUUUGGGUAAGAGGCCCUUAUUCUAGGGAUUUCUAUCCCAUUUUAUGAACAAGCCAGGAGAAUUCAGAGGGGUGAACUCUGAAAGGUUUGCAAGUGGAGCCGUCACGUCUCUUGUCCGAUGCAUCCAAGUCGGAUGGCCCAGGUGAUUCCUGGAGACAGCAGGAUCCCCUGUCCCCCUCACCAGCCAGGGGAGCGCCACCCUCAUCCUGGCCCUGGGGACCCUCGGCUGAGUCUUGCUUUUCUCCGGAAAGAAAGUGUGCAGGAGAGGAGUGCGACCUGGGACUCGUUCUUCCGUUCAGCGGAUGUGGGACAACGUCAGGCCAAUGCCAGGUCCACCAGCGAGGUGUCUGCAACCAGCUGGAUCUGCCACAGGGCUUCGAGUGGACGGCAUGGCCUUCUACAUUGUACCCCACGGGUGGGGCAGGCGUUGUUGUCAUCACAGCUCUCAGAGGGAAGGAGACCCAGAGGUCAAGGCUCUCGUCCCAGAGCUGGCAGAGCAAAGGAUGUGCGUUGGCGUCGGCGCCUCCUGACUACCACCCGCCGUGCGCCCAGUGUGUGCGGGGCUCCUCUCCAGGGGAUGGUGUCCGGAUGGCUUCCCAGGCGCUCCCUGGAUUCCUCUGUGAGCUGCCCUGGGAACAAAAGGGGAAAGACAAGGGGCAAGAGGCUUCCCCUCCCAGCUGACCCGGCGCCCUUGAAAGCGACUCCUCAGCCGUCUCGCCCAGCACCGCCUUUCUGGCAGACCAACGGCACGCGGCACGAAUCCCGAGGUCUGUUAUCAGGAGAGAAGCACAGAGCGGACGCCGGCUCUGCCGCCAUGGAAUGUUUGGAGGAACGUCAAGUCCUUGGUGCUGCCAGACAGGGAGCGUGGUGCAGGCUCGGCGCCCGGCAGUGCAGGGAAGGGGCCGGCACGGUGGAUCCCGCCAUGGGGUGGGGGUCGGGGUGUGCAGGCAGCAGGCGGCAUCGCCCAGCCGUCAGUCCUGAUCCCCCUCCGCCCUCCUCCCCGCCUUCUCCACGUUCCCCUCUCCCUUCCCACCCCACCCUCUCCUUGAACGGCUGCAAGGUCAGAGGGAGGAGAGGUGGGGGCACCCUGGUUACCACAAGCAAGAGUGCGAGGAGCAGGACUGGGCUUGGGUACGGGGGAACUUGA